UCAACUCUAGCUUUCUGUCUCCAAAACGGCGAUUUUUCUCGCCCUCCGACCUUCCAUCUUUCUCUGAGGAAUUAUCCACAACGGUGCAAUUAGAUCCGAUUCAAUUUUUUACCCAGAAACGUUGGCGUUUCCUGGCUCGGAUCCUCCUCUUCUUUUUCACCCAAACCAGCUGCCCCACCUUCAAUUGAUACGGACGGAAACACCACGAAUUGAGCCGCAACACCAAUACUGUAACAAUUAUAAGAAAAGAGCUCCAAACCCGCAAAGCAGCCGCAUCCUCUGAGGAAACCGUGUUGGAACAGAACUGUAUUUGUGCAGAUCUUGCAAACGUAUUUGAAGUGUUGUUGCCACAACUUCUGCUGUAUCCCAAUCCUUCUGACGCUUUAAACGGAGAGGCUGCAGCUUUAAUGAUGUGUUACCAAGCUGCUUAUGAACAAAGAGUUAAAGCAAUUGUCAUUGGACGUGCGUUCGAGCCUCAGGUUUUCCCAAAAUUAGAUCGUUUCUAAUUCCGUUCUGCAAUCAUGUUGUGUUUGUCUGUUUUUAAUUGUUGGUGCAAGCUUGAAGGAGAUUGUGAAAAAUUGGACUGACUCCUCCAACAAAUCUGUCAACCACCUCCUUGCCCAAGAAAACUCAAGUACAUAUCUCGAAAGCUUUUUGUCCAGCCCUGAACAUUUGCUUUCCACAAGAAGAAUUUGGUUUGGUCAACCUUUAAUGCCUUAUUGUCGGAUUAAGUUAAAGGUGGUACAAUAGUUCUAUCCGAUGAUGGUCGCUAUUUUUCAAAGUCAAAGGAUGCUGUGGAAUUUCAAGAUUGAAAACCGCUGGCUUUCAAUCUUUUAAAACAAAUUACCUUUGUAAGACCAUCUCCAAACCUGGGCUAAAAGUCAAAUUACCCCCCAAACACUCUCCAACCCAUGUUAAAAUUUUAGGCUAAAUGCCAAAUGUUAUUUCUGGGCCAAAUACCCCCCCCCCAGCUUUCCCCCUGUGCUAAAUGGCAAAUGUUUAUUGGAAUUUAAAUUUUUUUUAGAUUAAAAUGUUCAUAAAAUUAAUUUACAAUAAUCUACAUAUUUAUUUUUAAAAAAAAUUGAUUUAAGAAAAAAAU
rnacentral:sRNA from 1 species